rnacentral:ncRNA from 1 species
AACUAAUUUGGUCCUAGUUCUACCAAUCAACUAACCCUAGGCCGAUACAUGCAAAUUAAUAGUGAAACGGUGAGGCAAAAGUCAAAACCUGAAGGAAACGACUUUACCAGACAUCAGGACAACCCAUCUUAACACCCAAAGACGUCUAGGAACCCCCUUCUCCCACACCUGCAGUACCUAACAUUAUACAAUAAGCGACAGCCUGAUAUAGCCAUAGGGCCCCAGAGCCGGUAAAUCAUGUGCCAGCCACCGCGGUUAUACAUGAGACACAAGUUGAAGACAGUUCGGCAGAAAGGUCGAUACAAACUGAACGGGGCUAACGCCUCCUCAAGCAGUAACAAGCUAACAGACCCCUAAAUACAACACCCCGGCCCCGUAAUUCCACCGCCUAAACCAAUCACCAAAGCUCAAAGAUAAACUGGGAUUAGAUACCCCACUAUAUGAGCCGUAAAAUACCCCAAACGCCAGAGUACUACGAACUAAAGUUUAAAACUCAAAGGACUUGGCGGUUUUCUAGACCUCCCUGGAGGAGCUUGCCACCAAACCGACAACCCGCGUUAGACCUCACCAACCUUUGAAAACACAGCCUGUAUACCAUCGUCGCCAGUCUACCCCACAAGGGAAGUAUACUCAAGGGGCAGCAAGCCCCCACUACGUCAGAUCGAGGUGCAGCUAAUAGGUUGGGGGUGAGUGAGCUACUAUAACCACACCCACAAACAACCCGAAUAUGGACGACCCACUGAAAAAAAGUCUAAAACAGGAUUCAGUAGUAACACCUAACAGAAAAUAGAUGUAAACCGCACCACCAAGCUCUAGAAUUCGCACACAUCGCCCGUCACUCUCGUCCGCAGAGGAGAAAAGUCGUAACAAAGUAGGCGUAUUGGAAAAUGCGCCUGGAACAAU